UACGUAGGUGGCAAGCGUUGUCCGGAUUUACUGGGCGUAAAGAGCGCGCAGGCGGUCGUUCAAGUCGCGUGUGAAAGCCCCCGGCUCAACUGGGGAGGGUCACGCGAUACUGAUCGACUCGAAGGCAGGAGAGGGAAGUGGAAUUCCCGGUGUAGUGGUGAAAUGCGUAGAUAUUGGGAGGAACACCAGUGGCGAAGGCGGCUACCUGGACCGGUUCUGACGCUGAGGCGCGAAAGCGUGGGUAGCAAACAGG
rnacentral:rRNA from 1 species